UACGUAGGUGGCAAGCGUUGUCCGGAAUUAUUGGGCGUAAAGCGCGCGCAGGCGGUCCUUUGAGUCUGAUGUGAAAGCCCACGGCUCAACCGUGGAGGGUCAUUGGAAACUGGGGGACUUGAGUACAGAAGAGAAGAGUGGAAUUCCACGUGUAGCGGUGAAAUGCGUAGAGAUGUGGAGGAACACCAGUGGCGAAGGCGGCUCUCUGGACCGAGACUGACGCUGAGGCGCGAAAGCGUGGGGAGCAAACAGG
rnacentral:rRNA from 1 species